rnacentral:rRNA from 1 species
GACGAACGCUGGCGGCGUGCUUAACACAUGCAAGUCGAACGGAAAGGCCCUGCUUUUGUGGGGUGCUCGAGUGGCGAACGGGUGAGUAACACGUGAGUAAACUGCCCUUGACUUUGGGAUAACUUCAGGAAACUGGGGCUAAUACCGGAUAGGAGCUCCUGCUGCAUGGUGGGGGUUGGAAAGUUUCGGCGGUUGGGGAUGGACUCGCGGCUUAUCAGCUUGUUGGUGGGGUAGUGGCUUACCAAGGCUUUGACGGGUAGCCGGCCUGAGAGGGUGACCGGCCACAUUGGGACUGAGAUACGGCCGAGACUCCUACGGGAGGCAGCAGUGGGGAAUAUUGCACAAUGGGCGGAAGCCUGAUGCAGCAACGCCGCGUGCGGGAUGACGGCCUUCGGGUUGUAAACCGCUUUCGCCUGUGACGAAGCGUGAUUGACGGUAAUGGGUAAAGAAGCACCGGCUAACUACGUG